AGUGAACGCUGGCGGUAGGCCUAACACAUGCAAGUCGAACGGCAGCACAGUAAGAGCUUGCUCUUACGGGUGGCGAGUGGCGGACGGGUGAGGAAUACAUCGGAAUCUACUUUUUCGUGGGGGAUAACGUAGGGAAACUUACGCUAAUACCGCAUACGACCUACGGGUGAAAGCAGGGGAUCUUCGGACCUUGCGCGAUUGAAUGAGCCGAUGUCGGAUUAGCUAGUUGGCGGGGUAAAGGCCCACCAAGGCGACGAUCCGUAGCUGGUCUGAGAGGAUGAUCAGCCACACUGGAACUGAGACACGGUCCAGACUCCUACGGGAGGCAGCAGUGGGGAAUAUUGGACAAUGGGAGCAAGCCUGCUCCAGCCAUACCGCGUGGGUGAAGAAGGCCUUCGGGUUGUAAAGCCCUUUUGUUGGGAAAGAAAAGCAGCAGGUUAAUACCCCGCUGUUCUGACGGUACCCAAAGAAUAAGCACCGGCUAACUUCGU
rnacentral:rRNA from 1 species